AAGACUCGCUCCAUUUGGAGUUGAACUGAAUUUUUGGUGAAAUUUUGAGUGUGAGGGGGUCGACUGCCUUUGCAGUUUGGAUUAAUCGAGUUUGGGAAAGCAUUUUUCAGUGCCUGAUAACUGGAUUCAUUUGAAAUUUUGGGAGCAUCAAUAUUUGUAAGCUAAGCUUUGAAGGGCACAAGUUUCGCUGGAUUUGAAGACAAUUUGAAUUUUUAGCGAAUUUCUAAGUGAAGGAGGUUGGUCGCCGUGGCAGUUUGGAUCACUCAACUUCAAAGGAGCAAUUCUCACGACUGGAUUACUAGAUUGCAAUAAGAUUUAUUGGAGCAGGAGCGCCUUUAAGUUAACCUUGCAAUAACAUAUGAAUCAUUUAAUUUGGAGCUAAUUAAAUUUUUUGGCGAAUUUUGGAGUAGAAGGGGGUCGCUGCCUUCAAUCCUUGGCGUUGUCAAGGUACCUUUGCUUUUACCCCUCUUAUUUUAUUUUUACUUUUAUCUUCACAGUAACUCGUAAUCUCCACAUUUCAACUUUUGACUAAUAAAUUUUAACUUUUAA
rnacentral:lncRNA from 1 species